AAACUCAAAGGAAUUGACGGGGACCCGCACAAGCGGUGGAUGAUGUGGAUUAAUUCGAUGCAACGCGAAAAACCUUACCUACCCUUGACAUGUCUGGAAUCCUGGAGAGAUUUGGGAGUGCCCGAAAGGGAACCGGAACACAGGUGCUGCAUGGCUGUCGUCAGCUCGUGUCGUGAGAUGUUGGGUUAAGUCCCGCAACGAGCGCAACCCUUGUCGUUAAUUGCCAUCAUUUAGUUGGGCACUUUAACGAGACUGCCGGUGACAAACCGGAGGAAGGUGGGGAUGACGUCAAGUCCUCAUGGCCCUUAUGGGUAGGGCUUCACACGUCAUACAAUGGUCGGUACAGAGGGUUGCCAAGCCGCGAGGUGGAGCCAAUCCCAGAAAGCCGAUCGUAGUCCGGAUCGUAGUCUGCAACUCGACUGCGUGAAGUCGGAAUCGCUAGUAAUCGCGGAUCAGCAUGUCGCGGUGAAUACGUUCCCGGGUCUUGUACACACCGCCCGUCACACCAUGGGAGCGGGUUCCGCCAGAAGUAGGUAGCCUAACCGCAAGGGGGGCGCUUACCACGGCGGGGUUCGUGACUGGGGUGAAGUCGUAACAAGGUAGCCGUAGGGGAACCUGCGGCUGGAUCACCUCCUUUAUG
rnacentral:rRNA from 1 species